rnacentral:rRNA from 1 species
CGACCGGCGGAAGGGUGCGUAACGCGUGAGCAACAUUCCCGCAUCUGGGGGAUAAGCACUGGAAACGGUGUCUAAUACCCCAUAACAACGGAUUCCACAUGGAGACCGUUUGAAAGCUACGACGGAUGCGGAUUGGCUCGCGUGACAUUAGCUAGUCGGCGGGGUAACGGCCCACCGAGGCGACGAUGUCUAGGGGUUCUGAGAGGAAGGUCCCCCACACUGGAACUGAGACACGGUCCAGACUCCUACGGGAGGCAGCAGUGAGGAAUAUUGGUCAAUGGGCGGAAGCCUGAACCAGCCAUGCCGCGUGAAGGAAUAAGGCCCUAUGGGUCGUAAACUUCUUUUGUGGUGGAGCAAUAAGGGCUACGCGUAGUCCGAUGAGAGUACAUCACGAAUAAGCAUCGGCUAACUCCGUGCCAGCAGCCGCGGUAAUACGGAGGAUGCAAGCGUUAUCCGGAUUUAUUGGGUUUAAAGGGUGCGUAGGCUGUGCCGCAAGUCGGGGGUGAAAGCCCGGGGCCCAACCCCGGAACUGCCCUUGAUACUGCGGCGCUGGAGUUCGGAUGCCGUGGGAGGAAUGAGUAGUGUAGCGGUGAAAUGCAUAGAUAUUACUCAGAACACCGAUUGCGAAGGCAUCUCACGAAUCCGACACUGACGCUGAGGCACGAAAGCGUGGGGAUCAAACAGGAUUAGAUACCCUGGUAGUCCACGCAGUAAACGAUGAUGACUAACUGUCGGCGAUAAACAGUCGGUGGCCAAGCGAAAGCGAUAAGUCAUCCACCUGGGGAGUACGUUCGCAAGAAUGAAACUCAAAGGAAUUGACGGGGGCCCGCACAAGCGGAGGAACAUGUGGUUUAAUUCGAUGAUACGCGAGGAACCUUACCCGGGCUCGAACGGCUAGUGAACGACCCAGAGAUGGAA